rnacentral:tRNA from 1 species
GAAGAGGCGCCCCUGCUAAGGGCGUAGGGUGGGAAACCGCCGCGAGAGUUCAAAUCUCUCUUACUCCGCCA